rnacentral:rRNA from 1 species
UACGUAGGGGUCGAGCGUUGUCCGGAUUUAUUGGGUUUAAAGGGUGCGUAGGCGGCUUUAUAAGUCAGUGCUGAAAUAUCCCGGCUUAACCGGGAGGGUGGCAUUGAUACUGCAGAGCUUGAGUGAAGUCGAGGUAGGCGGAAUUGACGGUGUAGCGGUGAAAUGCUUAGAUAUCGUCAAGAACACCGAUAGUGAAGACAGCUUACUAGACUUCAACUGACGCUGAGGCACGAAAGUGUGGGGAUCAAACAGG